rnacentral:rRNA from 1 species
CGUAACUAUAACGGUCCUAAGGUAGCGAAAUUCCUUGUCGGGUAAGUUCCGACCCGCACGAAAGGCGUAAUGAUUUGAGCACUGUCUCGACAAUGCAUCCGGUGAAAUUGAAGUACCAGUGAAGAUGCUGGUUACCCGCGCCAGGACGGAAAGACCCCAUGGAGCUUUACUCCAGUUUGGUACUGGGAUUCGGUACUGCAUGUACAGGAUAGGUGGGAGACUAAGAACUUGGGACGCCAGUUUCAAGGGAGUCGCUGUUGGGAUACCACCCUUGCAGUAUUGGAUUUCUAACCAGCCGCCGUGAUCCGGCGGUGGGACAAUGCCAGGCGGGGAGUUUGACUGGGGCGGUCGCCUCCGAAAGGGUAUCGGAGGCGCUCAAAGGUUCCCUCAGAAUGGUUGGAAACCAUUUGAAGAGUGCAAAGGCAGAAGGGAGCUUGACUGCGACACCGACGGGUGGAGCAGGUAGGAAACUAGGACUUAGUGAUCCGGUGGCAUAAAGUGGGAUUGCCAUCGCUCAACGGAUAAAAGCUACCCUGGGGAUAACAGGCUUAUCACUCCCAAGAGUUCACAUCGACGGAGUGGUUUGGCACCUCGAUGUCGGCUCAUCGCAUCCUGGGGCUGUAGCAGGUCCCAAGGGUUGGGCUGUUCGCCCAUUAAAGCGGUACGCGAGCUGGGUUCAGAACGUCGUGAGACAGUUCGGUCCCUAUCCGGCGCGGGCGGAGGAUAUUUGAGAGGAGCUGUCCUUAGUACGAGAGGACCGGGAUGGACGGACCACUGGUGUAUCUGCUGUCGACCAACGGCAUGGCAGAGUAGCCAAGUCCGGAAGGGAUAAACGCUGAAGGCAUCUAAGCGUGAAGCCCCCCUCAAGAUGAGAUAUCCCUCACAUAAGUGAGUAAGAUCCCUUGAAGACUACAAGGUAGAUAGGGCAGAGGUGGAAGCACGGUAACGUGUGGAGCUGACUGUUACUAAUCGAUCGAGGGCUUGACCAA